rnacentral:rRNA from 1 species
CACAUGCAAGUCGAACGGUAACAGGAAGCAGCUUGCUGCUUCGCUGACGAGUGGCGGACGGGUGAGUAAUGUCUGGGAAACUGCCUGAUGGAGGGGGAUAACUACUGGAAACGGUGGCUAAUACCGCAUAACGUCGCAAGACCAAAGAGGGGGACCUUCGGGCCUCUUGCCAUCAGAUGUGCCCAGAUGGGAUUAGCUUGUUGGUGAGGUAACGGCUCACCAAGGCGACGAUCCCUAGCUGGUCUGAGAGGAUGACCAGCCACACUGGAACUGAGACACGGUCCAGACUCCUACGGGAGGCAGCAGUGGGGAAUAUUGCACAAUGGGCGCAAGCCUGAUGCAGCCAUGCCGCGUGUAUGAAGAAGGCCUUCGGGUUGUAAAGUACUUUCAGCGGGGAGGAAGGUGUUGUGGUUAAUAACCGCAGCAAUUGACGUUACCCGCAGAAGAAGCACCGGCUAACUCCGUGCCAGCAGCCGCGGUAAUACGGAGGGUGCAAGCGUUAAUCGGAAUUACUGGGCGUAAAGCGCACGCAGGCGGUCUGUCAAGUCGGAUGUGAAAUCCCCGGGCUCAACCUGGGAACUGCAUUCGAAACUGGCAGGCUUGAGUCUUGUAGAGGGGGGUAGAAUUCCAGGUGUAGCGGUGAAAUGCGUAGAGAUCUGGAGGAAUACCGGUGGCGAAGGCGGCCCCCUGGACAAAGACUGACGCUCAGGUGCGAAAGCGUGGGGAGCAAACAGGAUUAGAUACCCUGGUAGUCCACGCCGUAAACGAUGUCUACUUGGAGGUUGUGCCCUUGAGGCGUGGCUUCCGGAGCUAACGCGUUAAGUAGACCGCCUGGGGAGUACGGCCGCAAGGUUAAAACUCAAAUGAAUUGACGGGGGCCCGCACAAGCGGUGGAGCAUGUGGUUUAAUUCGAUGCAACGCGAAGAACCUUACCUGGUCUUGACAUCCACGGAAGUUUUCAGAGAUGAGAAUGUGCCUUCGGGAACCGUGAGACAGGUGCUGCAUGGCUGUCGUCAGCUCGUGUUGUGAAAUGUUGGGUUAAGUCCCGCAACGAGCGCAACCCUUAUCCUUUGUUGCCAGCGAUUAGGUCGGGAACUCAAAGGAGACUGCCAGUGAUAAACUGGAGGAAGGUGGGGAUGACGUCAAGUCAUCAUGGCCCUUACGACCAGGGCUACACACGUGCUACAAUGGCGCAUACAAAGAGAAGCGACCUCGCGAGAGCAAGCGGACCUCAUAAAGUGCGUCGUAGUCCGGAUUGGAGUCUGCAACUCGACUCCAUGAAGUCGGAAUCGCUAGUAAUCGUGGAUCAGAAUGCCACGGUGAAUACGUUCCCGGGCCUUGUACACACCGCCCGUCACACCAUGGGAGUGGGUUGCAAAAGAAGUAGGUAGCUUAACCUUCGGGAGGGCGCUUACCACUUUGUGAUUCAUGACUGGGGUGAAGUCGUAACAAGGUAACCGUAGGGGAACCUGCGGUUGGAUCACCUCCUUACCUUAAAGAA